rnacentral:lncRNA from 1 species
AAGUCUAUUUUAUGCAUAUCCAGAAAUCAACGCCACUUUGCUUAUUUGAAUAUUAUACUAAAGAAAUCGGAUACGGGUCACGGAAAUUACAUUAAAAUGAUAGGGAAUUUUGAAAAAAAUGUCUGUUUUAAUUUUAAUUUAAGUGAUAGACAGGUUGCCGGGGCAGAAAAUAAAUAUACACAACAAUAUACACCAUUUAAACGAA